AUUGAACGCUGGCGGCAGGCCUAACACAUGCAAGUCGAGCGGAUGAAGGGAGCUUGCUCCUGGAUUCAGCGGCGGACGGGUGAGUAAUGCCUAGGAAUCUGCCUGGUAGUGGGGGAUAACGUCCGGAAACGGGCGCUAAUACCGCAUACGUCCUGAGGGAGAAAGUGGGGGAUCUUCGGACCUCACGCUAUCAGAUGAGCCUAGGUCGGAUUAGCUAGUUGGUGGGGUAAAGGCCUACCAAGGCGACGAUCGGAAACUGGUCUGAGCGGAUGAUCAGUCACACUGGAACUGAGACACGGUCCAGACUCCUACGGGAGGCAGCAGUGGGGAAUAUUGGACGAUGGGCGAAAGCCUGAUCCAGCCAUGCCGCGUGUGUGAAGAAGGUCUUCGGAUUGUAAAGCACUUUAAGUUGGGAGGAAGGGCAGUAAGUUAAUACCUUGCUGUUUUGACGUUACCAACAGAAUAAGCACCGGCUAACUUCGUG
rnacentral:rRNA from 1 species